ACUUCGGUACAUCGGUGACAGGUGGUGCAUGGUUGUCGUCAGCUCGUGUCGUGAGAUGUGGGUUAAGUCCCGCAACGAGCGCAACCCCUAUUGUUAGUUGCCAUCAUUCAGUUGGGCACUCUAGCGAGACUGCCGGUAAUAAACCGGAGGAAGGUGGGGAUGACGUCAAAUCAUCAUGCCCCUUAUGACCUGGGCUACACACGUGCUACAAUGGUUGGUACAACGAGUUGCGAGUCGGUGACGGCGAGCUAAUCUCUUAAAGCCAAUCUCAGUUCGGAUUGUAGGCUGCAACUCGCCUACAUGAAGUCGGAAUCGCUAGUAAUCGCGGAUCAGCACGCCGCGGUGAAUACGUUCCCGGGCCUU
rnacentral:rRNA from 1 species